rnacentral:rRNA from 1 species
GAUGAACGCUGGCGGCGUGCCUAAUACAUGCAAGUCGAGCGAACGGACGAGAAGCUUGCUUCUCUGAUGUUAGCGGCGGACGGGUGAGUAACACGUGGAUAACCUACCUAUAAGACUGGGAUAACUUCGGGAAACCGUAGCUAAUACCGGAUAAUAUUUUGAACCGCAUGGUUCAAAAGUGAAAGACGGUCUUGCUGUCACUUAUAGAUGGAUCCGCGCUGCAUUAGCUAGUUGGUAAGGUAACGGCUUACCAAGGCAACGAUGCAUAGCCGACCUGAGAGGGUGAUCGGCCACACUGGAACUGAGACACGGUCCAGACUCCUACGGGAGGCAGCAGUAGGGAAUCUUCCGCAAUGGGCGAAAGCCUAACGGAGCAACGCCGCGUGAGUGAUGAAGGUCUUCGGAUCGUAAAACUCUGUUAUUAGGGAAGAACAUAUGUGUAAGUAACUGUGCACAUCUUGACGGUACCUAAUCAGAAAGCCACGGCUAACUACGUG